UACGGGGGGGGCAAGCGUUGUUCGGAAUUACUGGGCGUAAAGGGCUCGUAGGCGGCCAACUAAGUCAGACGUGAAAUCCCCAGGCUUAACCUGGGAACUGCGUCGGAUACUGGAUGGCUUGAAUUCGGGAGAGGGAUGCAGAAUUCCAGGUGUAGCGGUGAAAUGCGUAGAUAUCUGGAGGAAUACCGGUGGCGAAGGCGGCAUCCUGGACCGACAUUGACGCUGAUGGAGCGAAAGCUGAGGGGAGCAAACGGGG
rnacentral:rRNA from 1 species